UACGUAGGUGACAAGCGUUGUCCGGAUUUACUGGGCGUAAAGAGCGCGCAGGCGGUCGUUCAAGUCGAGUGUGAAAGCCCCCGGCUCAACUGGGGAGGGUCACUCGAUACUGAUCGACUCGAAGGCAGGAGAGGGUAGUGGAAUUCCCGGUGUAGUGGUGAAAUGCGUAGAUAUCGGGAGGAACACCAGUGGCGAAGGCGGGUCUCUGGACAGUUCCUGACACUGAGGCACGAAGGCCGGGGGAGCAAACGGG
rnacentral:rRNA from 1 species